ACGGGUGCGUAACGCGUGGGAAUAUACCUAUUGGUUCGGAACAACUGCGGGAAACUGCAGCUAAUACCGAAUGUGCCCUCACGGGGAAAGAUUUAUCGCCAAUGGAUUAGCCCGCGUCCGAUUAGCUAGUUGGUGGGGUAACGGCUCACCAAGGCUCCGAUCGGUAGCUGUUCUGAGAGGAAGAUCAGCCACACUGGGACUGAGACACGGCCCAGACUCCUACGGGAGGCAGCAGUGGG
rnacentral:rRNA from 1 species